rnacentral:rRNA from 1 species
AGCAGCCGCGGUAAUUCCAGCUCCAAUAGCGUAUAUUAAAGUUGCUGCAGUUAAAAAGCUCGUAGUUGAAUUUCGGGACCAAUAUGUCGGUCGUGCCUCGGUACGUACUGGCAUCGUUGGUUUCUCCUUUCUGAAGAACCAUGAUGUCAUUUAUUUGGUGUCGUGGGGAAUCAGGACUGUUACUUUGAAAAAAUUAGAGUGUUUAAAGCAGGCUCACGCUUGAAUACAUUAGCAUGGAAUAAUGAAAUAGGACGUUUGAUUCUAUUUUGUUGGUUUCUAGGAUUGACGUAAUGAUUAAUAGGGAUAGUUGGGGGCAUUAGUAUUCAAUUGUCAGAGGUGAAAUUCUUGGAUUUAUUGAAGACUAACUACUGCGAAAGCAUUUGCCAAGGAUGUUUUCAUUAAUCAAGAACGAAAGUUGGGGGCUCGAAGACGAUCAGAUACCGUCCUAGUCUCAACCAUAAACGAUGCCGACCAGGGAUCGGCGGAUGUUGCUCUAAGGACUCCGCCAGCACCUUCUG